rnacentral:tRNA from 1 species
GCCCUUGUAGCAUAGUGGUGGUGCGGUGCUCUCGUAAAGCGCAGGUCGAGGGUUCAAAUCCCUCCAAGGGCU